rnacentral:tRNA from 1 species
UGGGAAAGAGCUGUGGCUCAGUGGCAGAACACCUGCUUGGCAUACAGAAGGCCCCAAGUUCAAUCCUUGGCACCCCAA